CUAGGAACACGAUCAGUUCUCCAGCUCAUAUGAUUGUGAUUUCUGGUCAAAUGCGGAAACGUGUGGAGGGAGCAGCAGACUGUGUACAUAGGCACCAAGGAGGACAAAACUUCACCACAUAUCAAGGAGAGGAAUCACAGCGUGGGAAUUGGGAACACACUCUGGAUUGUUGGCACUGUUUCAUAGCUUUUUGUACAUAAACACACUUUUUUUCCAUUCAGAACGUUCCGCAUUUGGGUCCUCCUUCAACCAACCCUGACAAAGGUGGUUCCUAAAGACCUGUAUGCAGAAAACUUGGUAUAUUUGGGUACUGUGUUCUUUAAAACAAAUCUGUGGAAGCUGGACAAGUGGAGGGCAAAAGAAGAAGCGACAGGCCCAAAGAACUAUCUAGAUCAGCUAUUCCCGGCACACUUAAAAAGCCCAUGAAAAUCCCAUGGGGCUCACUCACCCAAUCUUAAAUCUGCACUCUAAGCAAAAUAUACAGGAAAUCAAUGUAUUUUCUGGAAAAGUUUAUUCCAAAACUAUUAACAGCACAGGCUGUUGGCUAUAAACUGACAAGUCAUACACAAAGUGGGAAAACCAAUGUUUGACCGACCUGCCACUGGGACACAAGUGACCACUUUCUAGCCCUUGUUGGCUUGAAAUAAAAUAUCUUCCUCUACUGUUACUGCAACAUACUGCAACUUCUGCAUGCAUGUCCUCAAAUGGAGAUGACCAACGUCUUUAUUACACGUUUUGCCCUGAUUUGGGGUUGGUUAUUACUGCUGCCCACCUGGACAACAUUUGCAAAAGGCUCCGACCACACUUUGGGAUUCAAUCAUCGAGAUCAGGGGUGUCAAGCAUCGAGACCAGAAUCGGCCCCAGACUCCAAUCUGGCCCACCAGAUAGUUUUGAAAAAUAUGAAGGAGAGGAUAAAUGUUGGACUAUUUACUACAUUUUCCUAAGUUUUAGAGCUUUGGCUACAAAUAAAGACCUUCCCCGUGGUCAGAAGAGGUCCUGUUUUUUUACAGUGUGUUUCCAUAAAAAGGGCCACCUGCAGUACCUUCGCAGCCCACCAAGCCCAGACUCCCACAGUCAGCCCACCUUUGCAGAUCUCAAUGCUUAUUGAUAGCCCAAACCUGCUGGAGCAA